CCUACGGGUGGCAGCAGUGAGGAAUAUUGGUCAAUGGACGAGAGUCUGAACCAGCCAAGUAGCGUGAAGGAUGACUGCCCUAUGGGUUGUAAACUUCUUUUAUAUGGGAAUAAAAUGUUCCACGUGUGGGAUUUUGUAUGUACCAUAUGAAUAAGGAUCGGCUAACUCCGUGCCAGCAGCCGCGGUAAUACGGAGGAUCCGAGCGUUAUCCGGAUUUAUUGGGUUUAAAGGGAGCGUAGGUGGAUUGUUAAGUCAGUUGUGAAAGUUUGCGGCUCAACCGUAAAAUUGCAGUCGAAACUGGCAGUCUUGAGUACAGUAGAGGUGGGCGGAAUUCGUGGUGUAGCGGUGAAAUGCUUAGAUAUCACGAAGAACUCCGAUUGCGAAGGCAGUUCACUGGACUGCAACUGACACUGAGGCUCGAAAGUGUGGGUAUCAAACAGGAUUAGAGACCCGAGUAGUC
rnacentral:rRNA from 1 species